rnacentral:rRNA from 1 species
GAUGAACGCUGGCGGCGUGCCUAAUACAUGCAAGUCGAGCGAACGGAUGAGAAGCUUGCUUCUCUGAUGUUAGCGGCGGACGGGUGAGUAACACGUGGAUAACCUACCUAUAAGACUGGGAUAACUUCGGGAAACCGGAGCUAAUACCGGAUAAUAUUUUGAACCGCAUGGUUCAAAAGUGAAAGACGGUCUUGCUGUCACUUAUAGAUGGAUCCGCGCUGCAUUAGCUAGUUGGUAAGGUAACGGCUUACCAAGGCAACGAUGCAUAGCCGACCUGAGAGGGUGAUCGGCCACACUGGAACUGAGACACGGUCCAGACUCCUACGGGAGGCAGCAGUAGGGAAUCUUCCGCAAUGGGCGAAAGCCUGACGGAGCAACGCCGCGUGAGUGAUGAAGGUCUUCGGAUCGUAAAACUCUGUUAUUAGGGAAGAACAUAUGUGUAAGUAACUGUGCACAUCUUGACGGUACCUAAUCAGAAAGCCACGGCUAACUACGUGCCAGCAGCCGCGGUAAUACGUAGGUGGCAAGCGUUAUCCGGAAUUAUUGGGCGUAAAGCGCGCGUAGGCGGUUUUUUAAGUCUGAUGUGAAAGCCCACGGCUCAACCGUGGAGGGUCAUUGGAAACUGGAAAACUUGAGUGCAGAAGAGGAAAGUGGAAUUCCAUGUGUAGCGGUGAAAUGCGCAGAGAUAUGGAGGAACACCAGUGGCGAAGGCGACUUUCUGGUCUGUAACUGACGCUAAUGUGCGAAAGCGUGGGGAUCAAACAGG